rnacentral:rRNA from 1 species
GACGAACGCUGGCGGCGUGCUUAACACAUGCAAGUCGAACGGUAAGGCCCUUCGGGGUACACGAGUGGCGAACGGGUGAGUAACACGUGGGUGAUCUGCCCUGCACUUCGGGAUAAGCCUGGGAAACUGGGUCUAAUACCGGAUAGGACCACUGCCUACAUGGGUGGUGGUGGAAAGCUUUUGCGGUGUGGGAUGGGCCCGCGGCCUAUCAGCUUGGUGGUGGGGUGAUGGCAUACCAAGGCGACGACGGGUAGCCGGCCUGAGAGGGUGACCGGCCACACUGGGACUGAGAUACGGCCCAGACUCCUACGGGAGGCAGCAGUGGGGAAUAUUGCACAAUGGGCGCAAGCCUGAUGCAGCGACGCCGCGUGAGGGAUGACGGCCUUCGGGUUGUAAACCUCUUUCAGCACCGACGAAGCGCAAGUGACGGUAGGUGCAGAAGAAGGACCGGCCAACUACGUGCCAGCCGCCGCUGUAA